GUCUGCGGCCACACCACCCUGAACGCACCCAGUCUCGUCUGAUCUCAGAAACUAAGCACGGUCAUUCCUGGUUAGUACUCGGACGGGAGAAUUCAGGCUCACAGAGC
rnacentral:rRNA from 10 species